AAGUCGUAACAAGGUCUCCGUUGGUGAACCAGCGGAGGGAUCAUUACCGAGUUUACAACUCCCAAACCCCAUGUGAACAUACCUGUUUCGUUCCCUCGGCGGUGUCCGGCAACGGCCCGCC
rnacentral:misc_RNA from 1 species